CGGGUACUGCGGUGCACGAACGGUGCAACGUGUCCCUGGGCCAACUCCGACUCUGACGGGAGCUGUCCCUCCUGAAAUCGUGGUUUCGGGUAUACGGCGCCCACCUGCUUUGGCAGGCCACAGAGGAGCGAUUGGCGCCGACGGCAACCGCGGUCCCGUC
rnacentral:other from 1 species